UACGUAGGGGGCUAGCGUUGUCCGGAUUUACUGGGUGUAAAGGGCGCGCAGGUGGGUUGGCAAGUCAGAGGUGAAAUCUCCCGGCUUAACUGGGAAACUGCCUUUGAUACUGCUAAUCUUGAGUACGGAAGAGAGAAGCGGAAUUCCAGGUGUAGUGGUGAAAUACGUAGAUAUCUGGAAGAACACCAGUUGCGAAGGCGGCUUCUUGGUCCGUUACUGACGCUCAGGCGCGAAAGCGUGGGUAGCAAACAGG
rnacentral:rRNA from 1 species